rnacentral:rRNA from 1 species
AGAGCGAACGCUGGCGGCAGGCCUAACACAUGCAAGUCGAGCGCCCGUAGCAAUACGGGAGCGGCAGACGGGAUAGUAACACGUGGGAACGCGCCCUUCGGUUCGGAAUAACUCAGGGAAACUUGAGCUAAUACCGGAUACGCCCUUACGGGGAAAGAUUUAUUGCCGAAGGAACGGCCCGCGUCCGAUUAGCUAGUUGGUGAGGUAAUGGCUCACCAAGGCUACGAUCGGUAGCUGGUCUGAGAGGAUGACCAGCAUCACUGGGACUGAGACACGGCCCAGACUCCUACGGGAGGCAGCAGUGGGGAAUAUUGGACAAUGGGCGCAAGCCUGAUCCAGCCAUGCCGCGUGGAUGAUGAAGGCCUUAGGGUUGUAAAGCACUUUAGUGGGGACAAAAGCUACGGGCUAAUACCUUGUGGUCUUGAUUUAACCCAAAGAAAAAGACACCGGCUAACUCUGCGCCAGCAGCCGC